GCUAGUAAUGUAUUAUGCACGUACGUAUGUAUUUCUCAUGACUCAUUUUUUUCCAAGAAUUUCAGUAAGACACAAAAUUCACGUAUUAUACACAUAAUUCUAACAUAUUAUUGAAAAAAUCAUAAUGUGUAUUUAAAAAAAUCUCAGUUUUUCCCUAAAAUAGUAUAGCCGUGCGGCUAUACUCGUGUUUUCAAAAUUUUUAACUAAAAAUAGUACAGCCGCCCGUCGGUACCUGUUUGACACGUGGCGCAUGGGCGCUGGGCAGUUGUAUAAAGCGUAUAGCCGCCCGGCUGUACUGGAUGAAUUCUGAAUUUUCUUUAAAAAUAGUAUAGCCGUGCGGCUAUACUCGCCAAAUUUAUUUUUUUAAAUAGUACAGCUCUGACACGUGGCACCUGUGCGUCCUUUUUUUAAUAUAUAAAUAGUAUAGCCGCACGCCUAUACUAUUUGAAAAGAAAAUUUAAUCCGGGAAUUUUUUUCUAAAAUUUUUAAAUAUAAAAGAAUUUGUUUCUUUACCUUUGUUUUUGGCCUACUUCUUUAAUUAAAUAUAUGUAAUUGAGCAAUAUCUUAGCCUUUUUGAAUUACUUUAAUUGGUACUUAUGUUUUAAUUAUUAUUUAAUAUAAGAAAUUAAAGAAAAAGUCCACAAAAUAAUUAAUUUAUGGGUGUUUUAAUUAAAUUUCUCCAUAGCCCAAGAGCCCUAUCCGUUAGUAUUAGCCCAUUACUCGAGUAUCUUUUGAGCCCUUUUUUAUUUUUUACUUUUCCAAAGUUAUUACUCGUAUAAAGAUUUUAUCCCUUUCACGUUUAAUAAUGUAUUAUGCACGUACGUAUGUAUUCUCAUGACUCAUUUUUUUUACAAGAAUUUCAAUAAGACACAAAAGUCCCGUAUUUAUAAUUCAACUAAAUUAUAAAAAAAAUCAUAAUAUGUAUACAAAAAAAUUCUCAGUUUUCCCUUAUAUAGUAUAACCGUGCAGGCCAUAGUAGUGUUCCAAUAAAUUUUAACUAAAAUAGUACAGAAACGUGUCUGUACCUGUUUGACACGUGGCGCAUGUGCGCUGGGCAGGUAGAUCAAGUGUAUAGCCGCCCGACUGGCCCGGAUUAAUUAUGAAUUUUCUUUAUAAAAUAUUAUAGCCGAGCGGCUAUACUCGCCACAUUAAUUUUUUUAAAAUAAUACAGCUUUUACCGUGGCACCUGUUCGAUCUUUUUUUUAUAUAUAAAUAGUAUAGCCGCACGGCUAUACUAUUUGAAAAGAAAAUUUAAUCUGGGAAUUUUUUUCUAAAAUUUUUAAAUAUAAAAGAAUUUGUUUCUUUACCUUUGUUUUUUGGCCUACUUCUUUAAUUAAAUAUAUGUAAUUGAGCAAUAUCUUAGCCUUUUUGAAUUACUUUAAUUGGUACUUAUAUUUUAAUUAUUAUUUAAUAUAAGAAAUUAAAGAAAAAGUCCACAAAAUAAUUAAUUUAUGGGUGUUUUAAUUAAAUUUCUCCAUAGCCCAAGAGCCCUAUCCGUUAGUAUUAGCCCAUUACUCGAGUAUCUUUUGAGCCCUUUUUUAUUUUUUACUUUUCCAAAGUUAUUACUCGUAUAAAGAUUUUAUCCCUUUCACGUUUAAUAAUGUAUUAUGCACGUACGUAUGUAUUUCUCAUGACUCAUUUUUUUACAAGAAUUUCAAUAAGACACAAAAUUCACGUAUUAUACACAUAAUUCCAACAUAUUAUUGAAAAAAUCAUAAUAUGUAUUUAAAAAAAUCUCAGUUUUUCCUUAAAAUAGUAUCGCCGUGCGGCUAUACUCGUGUUUUCAAAAAUUUUAACUAAAAAUAGUACAGCCGCCCGUCUGUACCUGUUUGACACGUGGCGCAUGGGCGCUGGGCAGUUGUAUAAAGAGUAUAGCCGCCCGGCUGUACUGGAUUAAUUCUGAAUUUUCUUUAAAAAAUAGUAUAGCCGUGCGGCUAUACUCGCCAAAUUUAUUUUUUUAAAUAGUACAGCUCUGACACGUGGCACCUGUGCGUCCUUUUUUUAAUAUAUAAAUAGUAUAGCCGCACGCCUAUACUAUUUGAAAAGAAAAUUUAAUCCGGGAAUUUUUUUCUAAAAUUUUUAAAUAUAAAAGAAUUUGUUUCUUUACCUUUGUUUUUGGCCUACUUCUUUAAUUAAAUAUAUGUAAUUGAGCAAUAUCUUAGCCUUUUUGAAUUACUUUAAUUGGUACUUAUGUUUUAAUUAUUAUUUAAUAUAAGAAAUUAAAGAAAAAGUCCACAAAAUAAUUAAUUUAUGGGUGUUUUAAUUAAAUUUCUCCAUAGCCCAAGAGCCCUAUCCGUUAGUAUUAGCCCAUUACUCGAGUAUCUUUUGAGCCCUUUUUUAUUUUUUACUUUUCCAAAGUUAUUACUCGUAUAAAGAUUUUAUCCCUUUCACGUUUAAUAAUGUAUUAUGCACGUACGUAUGUAUUUCUCAUGACUCAUUUUUUUUACAAGAAUUUCAAUAAGACACAAAAGUCACGUAUUAUACACAUAAUUCCAACAUAUUAUUGAAAAAAUCAUAAUAUGUAUUUAAAAAAAUCUCAGUUUUUCCCUAAAAUAGUAUAGCCGUGCGGCUAUUCGCGUGUUUUCAAAAAUUUUAACUAAAAAUAGUAGAGCCGCCCGUCUGUACCUGUUUGACACGUGGCGCAUGGGCGCUGGGCAGUUGUAUAAAGAGUAUAGCCGCCCGGCUGUACUGGAUUAAUUCUGAAUUUUCUUUAAAAAAUAGUAUAGCUGUGCGGCUAUACUCGCCACAUUUAUUUUUUUAAAUAGUACAGCUCUGACACGUGGCACCUGUGCGACCAUUUUUUAAUAUAUAAAUUAGUAUAGCCGCACGGCUAUACUUAUUUGAAAAGAAAUUUAUUCUGGAAAUUUUUUCCUAAAAUUUUUAAAUAUAAAAGAAUUUGUUUCUUUNNNNNNNNNNNNNNNNNNNNNNNNNNNNNNNNNNNNNNNNNNNNNNNNNNNNNNNNNNNNNNNNNNNNNNNNNNNNNNNNNNNNNNNNNNNNNNNNNNNNNNNNNNNNNNNNNNNNNNNNNNNNNNNNNNNNNNNNNNNNNNNNNNNNNNNNNNNNNNNNNNNNUUUCUCCAUAGCCCAAGAGCCCUAUCAGUUAGUAAUAGGCCCCAUUACUCGAGUAUCUUUUGAGCCCUUUUUUAUUUUUUACUUUUCCAAAGUUAUUACUCGUAUAAAGAUUUUAUCCCUUUCACGUUUAAUAAUGUAUUAUGCACGUACGUAUGUAUUUCUCAUGACUCAUUUUUUUACAAGAAUUUCAAUAAGACACAAAAUUCACGUAUUAUACACAUAAUUCUAACAUAUUAUUGAAAAAAUCAUAAUAUGUAUUUAAAAAAAUCUCAGUUUUUCCCUAAAAUAGUAUAGCCGUUUGGCUAUACUCGUGUUUUCAAAAUUUUUAACUAAAAAUAGUACAGCCGCCCGUCUGUACCUGUUUGACACGUGGCGCAUGGGCGCUGGGCAGUUGUAUAAAGAGUAUAGCCGCCCGGCCGUACUGGAUUAAUUCUGAAUUUUCUUUACAAAAUAGUAUAGCCGUGCGGCUAUACUCGCCAAAUUUAUGUUUUUAAAUAGUACAGCUCUGACACGUGGCACCUGUGCGUCCUUUUUUAAAUAUAUAAAUAGUAUAGCCGCACGGCUAUACUAUUUGAAAAGAAAAUUUAAUCUGGGAAUUUUUUUCUAAAAUUUUUAAAUAUAAAAGAAUUUGUUUCUUUACCUUUGUUUUUGGCCUACUUCUUUAAUUAAAUAUAUGUAAUUGAGCAAUAUCUUAGCCUUUUUGAAUUACUUUAAUUGAUACUUAUAUUUUAAUUAUUAUUUAAUAUAAGAAAUUAAAGAAAAAGUCCACAAAAUAAUUAAUUUAUGGGUGUUUUAAUUAAAUUUCUCAAUAGCCCAAGAGCCCUAUCCGUUAGUAUUAGCCCAUUACUCGAGUAUCUUUUGAGCCCUUUUUUAUUUUUUACUUUUCCAAAGUUAUUACUCGUAUAAAGAUUUUAUCCCUUUCACGUUUAAUAAUGUAUUAUGCACGUACGUAUGUAUUUCUCAUGACUCAUUUUUUUACAAGAAUUUCAGUAAGACACAAAAUUCACGUAUUAUACACAUAAUUCUAACAUAUUAUUGAAAAAAUCAUAAUAUGUAUUUAAAAAAAUCUCAGUUUUUCCCUAAAAUAGUAUAGCCGUGCGGCUAUACUCGUGUUUUCAAAAUUUUUAACUAAAAAUAGUACAGCCGCCCGUCGGUACCUGUUUGACACGUGGCGCAUGGGCGCUGGGCAGUUGUAUAAAGAGUAUAGCCGCCCGGCUGUACUGGAUUAAUUCUGAAUUUUCUUUAAAAAAUAGUAUAGCCGUGCGGCUAUACUCGCCAAAUUUAUUUUUUUAAAUAGUACAGCUCUGACACGUGGCACCUGUGCGUCCUUUUUUUAAUAUAUAAAUAGUAUAGCCGCACGGCUAUACUAUUUGAAAAGAAAAUUUAAUCUGGGAAUUUUUUUGUAAAAUUUUUAAAUAUAAAAGAAUUUGUUUCUUUACCUUUGUUUUUUGGCCUACUUCUUUAAUUAAAUAUAUGUAAUUGAGCAAUAUCUUAGCCUUUUUGAAUUACUUUAAUUGGUACUUAUAUUUUAAUUAUUAUUUAAUAUAAGAAAUUAAAGAAAAAGUCCACAAAAUAAUUAAUUUAUGGGUGUUUUAAUUAAAUUUCUCCAUAGCCCAAGAGCCCUAUCCGUUAGUAUUAGCCCAUUAUUCGAGUAUCUUUUGAGCCCUUUUUUAUUUUUUACUUUUCCAAAGUCAUUACUCGUAUAAAGAUUUUAUCCCUUUCACGUUUAAUAAUGUAUUAUGCACGUACGUAUGUAUUUCUCAUGUUUAAUACACUCAUUUUUUUACAAGAAUUUCAAUAAGACACAAAAUUCACGUAUUAUACACAUAAUUCUAACAUAUUAUUGAAAAAAUCAUAAUAUGUAUUUAAAAAAAUCUCAGUUUUUCCCUAAAAUAGUAUAGCCGUGUAGCUAUACUCGUGUUUUCAAAAUUUUUGACUAAAAAUAGUACAGCCGCCCGGCUGUACCGACAAAAAAAUAAUUGGGUUUAAUUUAAAUAAUAAUCGGGUUUAAUUUAUUAGUUAUAUGUAUUAAUUAACCAGUGACCCAACUAAGUAGGCAUUUACCCGAAGGGUAUACCCACAAACCACUCAAUUGGGCCACUUGCAUAGCCAAUACAAACUAUUCUAUUUCCAAGAGUAAGUCUUAUAAAAACCUCCCGGAAACUCUAGUAUUCCAAUGUGGGAACUCAAACAUGUUUGCAAUGCCUCUCAAAACUAACAAAACUAUAAAUUACGUUACUGCACACAUUAUUUGUCGUAGAGAAUUGUUGUUCUGGUUGGCAAAGAGAUUGCAAAAUCACCAACUUGCAUUUUUGUUACAAGCAGGUAGAAUGAAAAACCCUGAAUUUAUCACCCAAAUUUCCUCAAUUCUCAAGAAACAGGACCACUUGGUCGUGGUAUAAUUACUAAAACUUAUGAUUUUCCUUUCAUGGCAGAAUACAAAGAGCUCUCAUCUGAUCAGUCCCGAAACUUAUGUCGAUGUACCCUGGCAGAAUACAAAGAGCAUUAAGAGUAAUAGAUUGUUUUAUUUUGUCUGGGAAAGGAAAACUCAAACAUACCUUCUUUUGAUCAUUGGUGAAUCAUAGGCAGUUAGGCUUUUGGCCUGUAAAUGAAUCUAGUAGUGUUGUUUCAAAAUUAUGAUUUCCAUCUGCACUAUGCAGGUUAUUAUGAAGGCUUAAACAUUUGACAGCAUGGGAAGAAAAAUCUACAUGCAAUCCAAGUGCAUAUCUCACCACUCCCUCCCUGGGAUGUGACCAGAACAAAAUUUCAAAGUACAGGGAUCAGCCUUGAGGUAUCAGUUCUGUUUUGUGGUUAUACAAUAUUUACUAUUCAAUAAUUAAUUUCCUUCGAUUUUUGUUCUGGUUUUUGAAUUGAAUUAUUGUGUAGUAAAUAUCAGCGUAUUCAUGAAGAAAAACCAUGGCACCAUAAUUUUUUGUUUAAUAAGUUUCAUAUUAUAACUAGCUUACAGCAAAGCAAGAAAUUAGAGAUGAUAGCAAGGCUCAAUAGCCUCUAGGCUCUACAUUUUGUAGGUUAUUAAGAACAACAACAAACCUAAUAAGAAGGCUCAUGAAGAACCAUCAGGACAGCACCUGGCCUUUUCUUUAUAGAACUUGAUUCACUAAAUUGUCUAAGUUUGCGUAUGAAGAACCAUCAGGACUGAUGGCCUUCUCUGCUAGUUUCUUCCAUUCCAUAGCCUUAGUUCUCAUUUUCUUACCCUUCUCUCCCUCCACUAACUCUUUAAUGAGCUUCUCUACUUGGUCUCUCUAGGCAUCAUUAUUGAUCUCCAACCCAAUGCCCCAUUCAUUGCAAGUAUAAACACAAUUUAUUCGCUGUUCGGCAAAGAAUGGCCAACAAUGCAUAGGAACUCCUGCAGAAAGACUCUCAAUGGUUGAGUUCCAACCACUGUGUGUUAAGAAUCCUCCAAUUGAUGGGUGGCUAAGGACUUGCUCUUGUGGGCACCAGCCUGCUACCAAACCUCUUCCCUUAGUUUCAGCUACAAACUCAGGUGGCAAAAUCGCCGAUUCACCAACUAACGAUCAGGUCUCACUACCCAGAAGAAGGGAAACUUGCUAUUUGCAAGUCCCCAACAAAACUCAAUAAGAUCUUUUGACUUUAUGACCACUAUGCUGCCAAAGUUGACAUAAACAACCGAGUUUGGCAGCUUAGCAUUGAGCCAUUGGAACCAUUCAGUUUCUUCUUUCCAUAGACUAUAUUCCAUGGACUUCAAAGGGUGUUGUGGUAUCUGAUUGAGAAGUAACUGGAGAGGGCCAAUGGUAUAAACAGGUGGAGGCAUUGAUGAGAGAGCAUGCAAAACAUCUGCCUCCAACUCAUCAAAAGUAUGAAGAACAACUGCUGAAGCUUUAUCAACUCUGUCCAUUGCUUCCAAGGUUAAUUUAAACAAGAUGUCAUUGGGGUUUGUAGUUUGAAAGUAAUUUGGGAGAUCCUUUAAACGAAUAGCUUUCGUUCCGGGAACCCAAUCUAUGACCUGGUCCAAAAAGCCAUUUGUUAAAUAGCUCUCAUCUGCAACACCCAAGUCAAGAAAAAUUUCAUCAUCAUUUUUUAAAAGAACAACAAGAAGUUAAGCAAAAAGUUGCUCAACUGCUUCAAUAUUAUGAAUACUUCUUUCACCUUUGAGUGGGGCAAGUCCUUUCUCUGCCAAAGUGGGAUAUUGCUUAAAGCCCAUGAAUCCAAUUGCAGCAAUAGUAAAGAACAGUGCAACAGGGAUUCCAAGUUCUUCAGCAGCUGUGAUGCUGAAAGUCAUGAAACCAUCUGAAACAAUGCAAGUCACUGGAGGAUUACUAAUAUUGUUAGAAGUUGCCAUGUCAUGGAGUUUUAAAAGGAGGUUACGAAAUACUGCCAAGAAAUUUUUUCUGAUGGAAUCGCAAAGCAAAUAGGCGUUUUGGCUGCAUCCUCAUCUGAAGCUGGAAGACCAUCUGGAAUGGUUUCGAAUUGAAAAUCAGGCAAGCCAUCGAGGGAGUUAGGUCCAAGAGAUUUAAGAAAGCGUCAGUGGUUGAACUCUGUGUUAACAAAGGUUAUAUGAAAACCUCUAUGGUGUAGGAGCUUUAAUAAUUUCAGCAUUGCCUUUAUAUGGCUUUGAAUUGCAAAGGGAAUGCAUACAGCAUGAGGCUUAUUGCCUUGUACUUCAAUGGAGCUCAUCUUAGAUUGUGUGUACAGUCAGUGUAUGCACAUAUGAACAAUAUUUGCACUCACAACACAAAUGCAGUAAAACUUUAUAGUUCUAACAACAUUUUCGUCCUUAUCAAACACCAGUUUAGGUCCAAUCUCAUGUCAUAUUCAAUUCAAGAAAACAACAAAUCUUGCAAAUCCGAAACUCAAGCAACCGAGGAAAAACAAGGCAACAAACCACUUGAGCACGACUCUUUUCCCUUAUACUAGCCAUGCAAAGAUAGAGGAGAGAUAGAGGACCACCACCACCAUUUUAUAGUAAUUUUGUUGUCACCAUCCAUUUUUUUUCAAUAGCGGCUAAAAUAUUUUUGUCAGAAUCUUCAGCUCAUUGGGACAAAUUUUUUAUUUUUUUAUUUGAUUUUUUAUGUUUGGUGUUAAGACAAAGUCAAGAACCACCAACUAACAAAUAAUAUAGAAAAAAACAGCAAAUGGCAGACAACCUCAAAGCACCAAGAGAUAUCAUUAAAUAUAUAUGACGAUCACCAUUAUUUGUUUGAAUUAUGUAACAUGUGCUUGUUUGUAACUAUAAAAACGUAAUCAAUCAAAAGCUACAAAGAAAGCCACAUGAAAAUAUUAAAAAAUGAAACGAGGGCAUACAAAUUUAGGUCCUAUCUCAUAUUAUAUUCAAGAAAACAACUAAUCUUGCAAAGCCAAUCCAAAACUCAACCAAUCAAGAAAAAACCACUUGAGCACGAAUCUGUUCUCCUUUCCUAGUCAUUGGAUUCCGAGCUUUUGCAUUUAGGGUGUGUAUUUAAUUGGGAUUUUAAAAGAUUAUUUUGGGAUAAAUAAGUCUUGUGGUAUUCAAUUAAAACUUUUAAAUGAUCUAAACAAGUCUUGUGGUUUCCAUUAAGACUAUUAGGAUUUUUAAAAGAGAGUGGCCAAAUCUAGUGGUAUUCAAUCAAGACUUUAAACAAGUAACAAAAAGUUUUAUGGUAUUCAAAACUUGCUAAUUUCGAGAGUUUUUUUUUUUAAAUGUGGAAUUCUGUGAGAUUUUUUAGUGGGAAGUAUAAAUACCAAACCAUAUCUCAAAUCCCACCCUAACCCAUCAAAUUUUUCAUGUGAGAGUUUUUUUGUCCUUUCUUCCUUCAAAACGUGUUGUUUGUUGCCAGUAAUACCAAUAACAUGGUGUGGAGCUAAACUUAUGAUUUUCCUUCUUCCUUUCAUGAGAACUCUCAUCUGAUCAGUCUCGAAUUUUUUUUACUUUUUAUUUGAAGGGUUGCAACAGUGGAGGCAGAUCACUUAAAAAUUGUGUUGAUAUUCUCAAUGAAGUAAGUUUUUCUAGUACUGGCCUGCCUUUGUUUAUCAGUUAAUUAUAGGCUUAUUUACUAUAGAACCUCCUGAAACUUCAGUCAAAUCUCAGUUAAUCCCCCCAAAGUUAAAAUGGCCCACUUAACCCCCUUGACCUUGGUUUUGUAUUCCACUCCCCCCACCCCACCGUUAACGCCAUCCAAAAGACAGUAAAAACAAAGCUGAUGUGGCAGGGGUAUAUUAUGGUAAAAGCACCCACAAUGGCCAAUUGCUGACCGUAGUCAGCAUCCUACAUGGCAUAGUGGACUCCACAGGCGUUGAAAAUCCUAAUCUAAGUGACUGAAUAGGGUGAAGCGGACCCCAGAUAACAAUAUUUUCUCUUCUUCUUCGAUAAUAGAGUUUCUAAACCCAGAAAAAUCACUUCCCACCAUUUGAAGGAUUUGAGGUUCCCCAGAGAAAAAUCUCUUAAUCUUUCUUCGAUUAAAGGGUGUAAAGAUGAGGAAAAAACCUCCACGAGGAGAAGAGCUGGCCAUUGCUGCACCUCAUUGCUAUUGUGGGAGGCUUGCUAGGCUGCAGACUUCUUGGACAGAGUCCAACCCAUUUCGGAGGUUAUUUGUGUGUCCAAAGUCAAAGGUAGGUUUUGAAUUUGCUAUUUUAUCAAAAAUUGGACAAAAAAUUGUGAGAAUGUGAUGGAAUUGUUGUUUGAAUGCAGAGGGGGAAAAACGAUUGUGGGUUUUUUUUAUGGGUUGAUAUUGAAAUGCAUCCCCGUGAGAGAGCUGUGAUGGCUUGGCUGCUGAGGAAAAAGAGAGAAGUUGAAGAUCAUAUUGGGCGUGCGAGAGCAAGAGAGAAGAAGUUGUGGAUUGCUCUGUUUAUUUCUUAGGCCUUUGUGUUUAUGGUUUGGUUUGGCAAUGUUGUGUAAUGUAAGUUAGGCAAUUGGUAUGUUUGAAAGUUAGGCAAUGUGGUAUGUGUGAAAGUUAGGUAAUGUUGUGUAAUGUACCUAGUUGAAUGGCAAUUUAGGGAGAUGAGAGUCUUAUGUAAAGGCUGUAGCAUUUUUGCAAAUGUAAUGGUUUCAAAGCCCUUUUGUAAUGGUUAAGACUAAACACUUUUAUAAGCACCACUAAUUCUUGAAAGCUUUUCAACUGCCAUUGAUUAAUAACUUUGUACAUAAAUUGUACAUAGUCUUGUACAUAACUCAAAAGACUUUCUAAGCACAUGUUUAAACAAUGGCAAGGCCAAAACAAAAUACGUGUACACUGAAUAUGCACCUAUUUAAUCCAUGACAAUGCCAAAUAAUUUGUAUCCAAAAACAAAGUAGACAAUAAAAUACCAAACAGACAGUUUCUACCCAAAAACAUAUAUGUUCACCAAGACACAACAAAACAUCAAAAUAGAGGAGAGAUUUUCAAUAUCUCCAUAGCUUAAACUUUGCCAAGAAGCCUUUCUUCUUAGUUGGAGACUUAAACCUAAAUUUGUUAAAUAACCCGCACACUAGAUCUUGUUCUUUGAUGUAACCAACGGCAAUAGACUAAACUAGCAAAUUGAGAAAACUUAGAAACACACAGUUGUGAUUUCUCUAGGUAGAGAAAUCACUGCUUCUUUGAUUAAUAAUAGAGAUUACUGAACUUUUUCAACCCUAGAACUAAUCUCAAAACUCUCGACUGUCUCUGGCUGUUUUUUCUCUCUAAAAUAAGCCCUGCCGCACCCUAUUUAUAGAUAUAGAGUUGGCUUACAUGUCCCAAGGUGGAUUGAAUUCCUAUUCCUAAGUGGAUUAGGAAAUUACACUUAUCCAAAUCCUAAUAGACUUCUAGAAAUCCAAACCAAAAUUGAAUAAGGAAAACUGAAAUUCUUUCCUAAUCCCUCUAGGACAAGAAUUGGUAUACCUCUAAUUUUCCUAAAACAAUCCUAAACCAACUAGGACAUAUUUGACGAGCCAAAAUCCUAACAAUCUCCACCUUGGUGAGUCAAACCAAGUCUUGAUCGUUGCACCCCAAAGUAUCUUUGAACCUCCUUGAAGCAGCUCUAGAAAUCUUCAAGAGUCUUCACCUUGGUAAUCUUCUUCUUGCCUCAUUGCACCUCAAGUGAGGAGGUGCUCUACUUUAAUCAAUCAACUAGAUUGAUCAAGUUCAAGCAAUGCUUGAACUUCUUGGCUAGCACUAUCUUUGUAAGGAAAUCUGUGGCGUUGUCAUCCGUAUGACUCUUUUCAAUCCAAAUCUCCUUAGACUCCACCCAAUUUCUGAUUUUGUGAUAUCUUGCUUCAAUGUGCUUUGAUCUUCCAGAAAAAACUUGAUUCUUUGCCAGGUGAAUGGCACUUUGACUAUCACACUUUAGCUUCACACAAUCUUGGGUGAUUCCCAUUUGACUUACCAAGCCAUUAAGCCAAAUUGCUUCCUUUCUAGCUUCGGCCAAUGCAAUAUACUCUGCCUCUGUGGUCGACAAAGCUGUAAUUGGUUGUAGUCAUGCCUUCCAACUGAUCGGUCCUCCUGCGCAUGUAAACACAUAACCAGAAGUUAACCUUCUCUUGUCCGAGUCCCUUGCAUAAUUAGCAUCCACAUAUCCCAACACCCUUGCAUUUUCUUUUUGCUUCUCAAACAUAAUCCUUUGUCGCCAAGAACCCUUCAAACAACACAAAAUCCACUUGACUACAUCCCAAUGUUGCUUUCCUGGAUUUGCCACGUAUCUGAAAACGACACUGAUUGCUUGAGCUAUGUCGGGACGUAUGCAUACCAUUGCAUACAUAAGGCAGCCCACGACAUUAACAUAAGACAUCUUCUUCAUUACUUGCUGCUCUUCCUCGAACUUAGGACACUGUUGCCCACUUACCUUGAAAUUAGCUGCCAAAGGAGUCGAAACUACCUUUGCUUCUUGCAUGUUGAACUUCUCAAGAACCUUCUGAAUAUAAUUGGCUUGUGAUAUCCAUAUCCUUCCAGCGGUCAUAUCUCUCUGAAUUUCCAUGCCAAGGAUCUUCUAUGUUGCACCUAGAUCCUUCAUGUCGAACUCCUCGCUCAACAUCUUCUUCAAGUCUUGAAUUCUAGACUUGUCUUGACAAGUGAUUAGCAUGUCAUCCACAUAUAGCAAUAGAAAUAUGAUCAUCCCAUGUUGGAAUACAUGAUAGUACACGCAACAGUCAUAUAAACAUCUUCUAAAAUUGAUUUUCAGCAUGAAGUAAUCGAACCUCUUGUACCACUGUCUUGGAGACUGUUUUAGGCCAUAUAAGGACUUCCUUAGCUGACAUACUAGGUUUUCUUUCCCAUAUUCAACAAACCCUUCUGGUUGAGCCAUGAAAAUUGUCUUAUCUAGAUCCUCAUGAAGAAACACUUUCUUCACAUCCAUCUGCUCAAUCUCCAUGUCAUGCUGAGUUGCCAUUGCUAAAAGCAAUUUGAUAGAAGUAUGCUUGACUACGGGUGAAAAGAUCUCAUCAUAAUCCACCCAUUCCUUUUGUGAGUACCCUUUAUCCACGAGCCUUGCUUUGAAUCUCACGGCAUCUUGUUCAUGUAGUCAUUCCUUUUUCCUAAAUACCUACUUGCAUCCAACUAGCUUUCUGCCUUUGGCUUAGGAACCAACUCCCAAACAGAGUUCUUGUAAAAAGACUCCAUUUCUUCUGUCAUAGCACUUAUCCAACUAUCUCGCUCAUCACUUGCUAUAGCUUCUCGAUAAGUAGUUGGAUCUUCUUGACUAAUGUUGAGAGCAUAAUUAACUUCAUCUAGGUUAAACCCAAACCUGUCAGGUUUCUUCUUGUUCCGAUUAGGUUUGUCCAGUGCUAUGCAUCUCUGGAAUACAGGUGGAUUGUUGGUUGGAGUUCGAACCCUUUGGGAUAUCUGGAGGAUUAUAGUGCCUUCAAUCUGCCCUGUUUCUUGCUCCACCUGAUUCUUAACUGGUGAACAAUGUUGAUGCUCUUCUUCUUCCUCAAAACCAUCAGAUUCGACAUCUUGCUCAAUUUGCUCCACCUGAGCUUCUUCUUCAUCUGAACUGAUUAACGGAAUCUUUGUUGCUUCAAUUUCAGCAUCGUAUUUCUUAUCCCUACUGCUCUCGACUUUAUUCAGAGGCAUGGUUGUCUUAUCAAAGACAACAUCUCGGCUAACAACUUUUUUCCUGUUGUUGAUAUCCCAAAGCUUGAAACCCUUCACUUCUUUCUCAAAACCUAAGAAUAUGCAAUGUGUAGACUUUGGUUUGAGCUUGGACCUUUCAUCACUUGGAAUAUGUGCGUAAGUACUACAGCCGAAUACCCUGAGCUUGGAAUAGUCCACCGGCUUCUCAUACCAUACCUCUUCUGCACUCUUAAAACCGAUAACUGUAGAUGGUGAUCUAUUAAUCAAAUAACUUGCAUGAUUAACAGCCUCUGCCCAAAAAAUAUUGGGCAAUCCUGUAUGAAAUCGCAUGCUCCUCUCUCUCUCACUCUCUCUCCUCUCUCUCUCUCCAUGAGAGUUCGGUUCAUCCUCUCAACAGCUUCAUUUUUGUUGGGGAUUCUUCUUUACCGUGAAGUGCCUUAUGAUGCCUUCUUGCUUGCGGUAAUCGGUAAACUCAUUACUUGUAUAUUCACCUCCAUUGUCACUUCUCAGGUACUUGAUCUUUCUUUUAGUUUGAUUCUCGGUUUCUGUUUUCCAUUCCUUGAACUUUGCAAAAACCUCAGAUUUCUGCUUCAUGAAAUAAACCCAAACCUUCCUAGAAAAAUCAUCCAUGAAAGUAACAAAAUACAUGGCUCCACCAUUUGAUUUGGUUGGUACAAGGCCCCAAUCUGAGUGAAUAUAACUGAGCUGCUCCUUGCUUCGGUUAUCUGCACUGAUACUCGUGAAUGAUACCUUUCUUUGUUUUCCAAGAACACAAUAUUCACAAAAGUCUAGUUUGCAAGAUGACACGCCUUCUAACAGGCCUUGCUUGUGUAAUUCUUACAACCCUUUCUGGCUUAUGUGCCCGAGCUUAUGAUGCCAAAGUUCAGUCUUGUCUUCUAUACCUUGAUUUACAGAAACAGCUGCUCCCUCAACUAUAGUGGUCCCAAUUAACUUAUACAGCUUAUUGGGUUUUACGUCACCCCGCAUUACCACCAAUGAUCCUUUGGCUACCCUGAGUCUUCCCUUUUUAGACUCGUACCCAUAGCCGGCCUCAUCUAAAGUACCCAAGGAAAUCAAAUUCUUUCUUAGUCUAGGGACAUAUCUAACGUUCCCCAAAACUCGUAUCAUCCCAUCAAACAUUCUGAUUCGAACAGUGUCGAUUCCUUUAACAGGACAUGAAGAAUCGUCCCCCAUUAAAACUUCCUCGCUGUUGACUUCUUUGUAAGUAUCGAACCAUUCUCUUACUGCACACAUAUGAAAAGUGCAUCCGGUAUCCAAAAUCCAAUUUGUGAAAGCCUUGGAGCCUAAUGUUACUGAAAGAAGCUCCCCAUCACUCUCAUUCUCGGUGACUACACUAGCUGAACCUGAGCUUUCUUCCCUCUUGGCUUUCUUCUCUUUCCAAAUCUUGCAGUUCCUCUUCCAAUGAUUGGUUGAACCACAUUCGAAGCAACCUUCCUUCUUUUCCUUUUUCUUCUUAGAUUUUGACCUACCUCUGUUGCCUGUUUUCUCUUUCUUUGUCUUUUUCCUCCCCCUCUCCUUGCCUUUGGCAUAAAGGCCUUGAGAUCUUUCAAUUAUAUCAUCUAGUUUAGCUUAUGACUGAAGAGCUUGAAUUACGUCUUCAAGCUUCAGGGACUCUUUUCCAAACAUUAGAGUUGUUCGAAAGUGCUUGAAAGACGAAGGUAGAGACUUCAGCAAGAUGAUAGCCAUAUCAUCAUCUUUGUAAGUUUCUUGGACCUUUUGAAGAUUAGUUAUGCAAUUUUGGAACUUGCAUACGUGAUCUUCAAUAUCACCUCAUUCUUCCAGUCGAAGUCCGAAUAGUUCAUCCUUGAGAAAAAGUUUAUUGGACACGAUUUUUCCAUAUAAACAUUCUCCAACUUUUCCCAUGCUUCAUGGGCAGUCAUCUUUUCGGUGACGUGUGACCGAACUGAUCUUGUGAGAUGGAUCUCGAUGGAACUCUUGGCCUUCUUGAGAACCUUAGUCCAUGCUGCGUCUUUCAUGCUUGCUAGUUUCUCAUCGUUGAGUGCAUCAUCCAAAUCUUGUUGUAUCAGUAUGUUCUUCAUCAUCAUUUGCCAGUCCGUGAAGUUAUCCUUGCCGUCAAAGGGCUUUAACGCAGGUCCUAGAUCCGCAUUCAUCUUCCCUUUAGACAUCAUAAAACCCCUUGAGCCAAGCUCUGAUACCAAUUGUUAAAUAACCUGCACACUAGAUCUUGUUCUUUGAUGUAACCAACGACAAUAGACUAAAUUGGAAAAUUGAGAAAACUUAGAAACACACAAGAAUUAUACUGGUUCGGCAUAAAUUUUGCCUCCAUCCAAUUGUGAUUUCUCUAGGUAGAGAAAUCACCGCUCCUUUGAUUAAUAAUAGAGAUUACAGAACUUUUGCAACCCUAGAACUAAUCUCAAAACUGUUGGCUAUCUCUGGCUGUUUUUCCUCUCUAAAAUAAGCCAUGUCGCACCCUAUUUAUAUAUAGAGAGUUGGCUUACAUGUCCCAAGGCUGAUUGAAUUUCUAUUCCUAAGUGGAUUAGGAAAUUACACUUAUCCAAAUCCUAAUAGAUUUCUAGAAAUCCAAACCUAAAUUGAAUAAGGAAAACUGAAAUUCUUUCCUAAUCCCUCUAGGACAAGAAUUGGUAUACCUCUAAUUUUUCUAAAAUAAUCCUAAACCAACUAGGACAUAUUUGACGAGCCAAAAUCCUAACAAACUUUCCUUUGUGAGGAAACUUGUAAAGGCCGAAACGAAUUUGGUUCUUAGGAUUGGGAGGCUUGUUCAAACAGAGCAGCUUGUGAUGCUUGUUCAAAUUGAGAAGCUUGAGAGGCUUGUUCAAACUGAGAAGCUUGAGAGGCUUGUUCAAACUGAGAUGCUUGAGAUGGUUGUUCAAACUGAGAUGCUUGAGAUGGUUGUUCAAACUGAGAAGCUUGAGAUGGUUGAGCUGGUUGGUGAGAUGGUUGAGGAGCUUGGUUAGACUGAGAAGAUGCUUGGUGAUGAUUGGUCCUUUUUUUUUAGCCUUUGAUAUGAUCUGAAAAUUGUGGCAGAGUUAGAUUAACAUACCUAUUUUUGGAUUAAUAUCUACAUAUGAAGAGUUCCAUAAUGCUACUUAAAUAAAAGAAACUCAACUUACUGGUUGUUUUUGCCUUGAUUGUGUAGAAGAUGAUGCUUGUUUCUGCCUUGAUUGUCUUGUAAUUCUCUGAGUUGAUGCGUUGCCUUAAUGUGUUGUCUUCUUUUGCCUUUGUGAUGGUACCUGGCCAACAAACAUCAUUGAGAAAUACAUAUUAGAAUGCCAAAUACUUAAAAUUACUUGUCUUCGUAGCUUCCUGGAAACUCUUCCUAGCCUUAUUAGGCACUUGCCCUUACUUAGCUGUCAAUAUUUUUUUUUGGAAUUCCUUGGUGUGCGUAGCAUUCAUUCUCCAUGCUUCUCAGCUGGAUUAUCAGCAUUAGUUCUAGCAGGGUGAUCAACAUUCAAACCAUUAGCAGUAACUCGAGUGGUGACCCCCAUAUUCUCCACAACAACUGUAUCUGCUGCUUGAGCCUUGACUUUAAUAAUAAUUGGGCAGGUGUCUCUACCAUGCCCACAGAAAGCACAUUCAAAGAAAACCAAUUAGAUUCCCUCAUACACCACCCCGUAUGUACGACCUUCUACCUUAAUGAAAGGGGUGAGUGGUUUAGACAGAUCAAGCUCACACACUCUGGUAAACUUACCUCUAGCUUGACUCAUUGUGUGUGGAUCCACCUUCAAAGUAUUGCCUAUCAGAUUCCCAAUCUUUUCCAUAACAUCAACUUUAAAGUACUCCACAUUCAGGCUAUUCAUUCGAACCCAUGUAUUCAUGUAGGUAAUUUUUUUCCUCGGAAUCAAAGCCAGGCUUCCACUUCUGGGUUACCAGAUACUACCCAUCUAUUUGCCAAGGGUCACCAGUGAGAACAUAAUUCAUAUCCUCCACUAGCAAGAAUUUUACAACAUAGUAGUUGUUCUCAAGAUCAAUUAAGCUCAUUGGCCUUUAAGAGCCCAUCUCUGGAGCAACCUGGCCCUAAAAAACGUGUAGGACACAGGGCAAGUCAUAUGCUUGAUAAUUAUACCAUUUCGCCAGGGAUGGUAUAAACACUCACUGAUUCUGUCUGAAAAGUGGAUUUAGGGAAUUUUCCCUUGCUUUGUAAUAAAAUCGUCCUCUCCGAUCUCCAUACGAUCCUCAGCCAUACCAAAAUCACAAGCUACCUCGUCUUUGAAGCUCAUUGGAAUAUGAGGCAACGAUGGGGGGUUCAUCAGCAUUGGGUCCACCACCAUCUAGGGUCUUGGGUGCGAGCUUGCUUCCCUCUUAGGGGUGCCCAACCAAACCAGAUCCAUCCCCACCCACAGAAAAUAUGAACUUCGGCAUUGCUGCUACCACCAAGAGUGAUGGUAGCAGUCGCAUACUAAGGAAAGCAUAAGGGAGAGAGAGCACACUUUCCUGAGACUUUGACGGCUUAGAUGUUCUUUGAAAUAAGUUCAAUAAUUAUUUUUUUUUCCUAAAGUGAUCAAAAAUAAUAAACUCAUGGGAAUAUAUUCAAAUAAUAAACUCUUGAUAAAUUACUGAUUAUCAACUCUUCUAUUUUUUUAUAUUAUCUAUUAGGAAAUAAUAAACUCAACAAAAUACAGUUCUAAAAAAUAACAUAAGAAAUCACUAAAAUGCAAAAGACAAGGGUAAAUGCAAAAGAAAAACACACAACUACAUUUAAAGCUUUGCGGGACGAAGAGGAUUUCAUCGCGCAGAGUCACAUGUAGUCGCACAAAUUUCAGCGCGACAAAAAAUUCGUCCCGCACAAGCCGUUGCGCAAGGAGCGUGAAGAAAGACUUUGCGCCUAAACCUUUGAUGCAACGAUGGUUAACCCCGUCGCUCAGUUUUGCGCGACCAAGUUUCUGCAUUGGUCGCGCAAAACUGAGCGACGGGGUUAACCAUCGUUGCAUCAAAGGUUUAGGGACGACACAGUUGUGUGUUGCACAAACCUUUGCGCGACGAAACCAUAUUCGUCGCAGGUAUAUUUGAGCGACGACGAGUAUUGCGCGACGAAGCAUUCAUUCGUCGCACAAAAUAUUUUCACAAGACGAAUAUCUUCGUCGCAUGUAUAUUUGAGUGACGAAGAGUAUUGCUCAAUUAAACAUUUGUUCGUCGCGCAAGAUGUUUUCGCGAGAUGAAUAUCUUCGUCACGCAAGAAUAAAUAUAUGUAAUUAAAAUGUUAUUUUUAGUUUUUUUAUUUUGUAAAAUGUGAAUUUGCGUGACGAAAAAUAUUUCGUUGCGCAAAAGUAAUAUAUAUUAUUUAAAUUUAAUAUUACGUUUUUUUUAAUUUUGUAAAAAAAUAAAUUUGGUUUUUUUUUUGUUGUGGUAAAAAAAUGAAAUUGCAAUCACAAAAUGAAUUGAAGAGAACAAAAAAUUAUAUAAAAUAAAAUAAAGUGUUACAAGAGAAAUGUUUAAAAUAUAAUUAUAAAAAUAAAAAACUAAUCAAAUAAUGUUCCAAAAUCUACUUGGGCGUCAGGCAUAUACAACUCGGAGAUUUGGGGGUCCAUAGGGGUAGUGGUCUGGCGGGCAUGCUUGAGGUGGACGGGCUCGGAGGUCGAUGCAUCAAAUUGCCGGACUAGAAUGCCAGACCACGUGAGGGACUGCAGAAUCACCGAUAUCUGACCCUCAAGCUCGGCCACCUUUGCUGUCAAAACAGUCACCUGACUGUUUGACUGCGCUGAUGAACGGGGUCUAGGUUGCCUCCGCCGGUCAUUCCCCAUCCCUCGACAAUAUGUCCCUGGCCUCCUCCCGAGAGUUUGAUCCAACGUCUCCGUCAAGAUCUGAAAUCCAACAUCCUGUGAAGGAUCCACAGACUCGAUCGGAGUCUCAGGAAGAAGUUGGGAGGCGGACUCCUGAAGAACCAACUGGCACCUCUCAACCAUCGUCGUCUGUUUAACAUAACAUAAAAUAUAAAUUGAAACAUGCAUAUAAUUGAAUGCGUAACAUAAGAAUUAAAAUUAAAUAAUACUUACAUGAAGAGACUCGGUCAACUCAUUCCCAGGUCGAACAUAAACGUCGCCGAAGACCUGGGAAUUUGGACCCCCCUUAAAUUGAACAAGAGAAAAAAAAUAUUAGUAUGAAAAAAAUAAAUUAAUUAUAAUAACAUAUUAAAAAUUAAAUAUAAAUUAUUUUCUUAUUAUCCGCCGUCGUGCAUCCAUCCUAUAUGAGAAGGGCCUAGAACCAGAAUGGUGGAGAAGAGUCUUCUUCUUCCUAUUGCCCUUAUUGACUUGGGCUUUAUUCUGUUAUACAAAAAAUAAAACGUAUUAGUUGAAAUAUAAAAAAUUAAAUAAUAAUGAAAUAUAAAAAAUUAAAUAAACAUUAGUAAGAAAUAUGUAAUAAUUAAACAAAUAUUAUUAAAAAAUACAACAUAAUCGGGUGCCUGAAAAUGAGCGCAGAGCCAUGCCCAACUAUCCUCCCCCCACCCUCAAGCUCCUUCGAGCAACUCUCCUGAAGAGCGACUUGCGGAUCAUCAAACGCCUGAAAAUGGUGGUGCAAGUCACUCUUUCACUGCUUGUACCUCUCAGCGAAGAGUCUGUUGACGUAUGCCAACAACUCACCGUCGAGGUCCUCUAAGUUGUAGUUCGUCUGCAAUAAAUUAAUUACAUACAUUAAGUAAUAGAAAUAUAUAAAGUUUUUUGAAAGAAAAAUAAUUAAAAGGUAGGAUACAUACCGACAACUGGCCGCAAACCUCCAUCUUCAUCUUAUCAGGCAUGACCUUCCAAAACUUCCAUUGCCUCUGGCAAUAGGUCCGAACGACGUGGCCAAUGUCGUGGGCCAAGGAGCUAUGCAACUCCGUCGCCAGUGUAGCCCGACGGCGCUCGUCGUAUCCAAUGCUGAUAUGACUGUUGGUCACCCGGGUGACCUUCGCCGUCUUCAGCUGUCGACACGGCCCUCAAGUGUUCUUCUUGGCUGCAAAGAAAUAUGACAUUAAUGUUAAAUAAAUAACAAAUUUAACUAUAAAAUUCACAAUACAAAAAAUAAAAUAAAAAAGAACUGGAGUUGAAGAAAAUCUAUACCUGGCUGUGACCCUGAGGCACCAGUACCGUCGGUCGAUGUGGUGUUGGUGGUGCUGGGGGGCCGGUGCUGCCGCCUAGCGCUAACAAGCUACUCUAUUGAUGAAGCUGAUGACGCAGGCGCCUGGGACCCCCUAGACCAACUGGCAAGUGGUCCAUCAGUGCUAAAACAGUGGCAGUAGAUGCCGGCUGGGCCGGGGGCUCCGAACUCGGUGCAGUCGUCAUCGACCUACGACGUCUAAUUAGGUUUAACAUCUGCACAAUUUCAUUAAUAUACAUACAAAUUAAUCAAAUUUACGAAUAUAUAAGUGUAAGCACAUACAAUUUCAUUAAAAAUUUUAACUAAUUAAUUAAAAGCAUAACUUGACCUAGAGUUUGGAUUUCGGAGUAUCCGGGACUCUGAUCCACAAUCCGUUGAAUCCUGCACGAUCCUAGAAAUACAAGGUACAACAUAAGUGAGUUUGAGUUUGAUCCAACGGUCCUAACAUAUCAAACCUGGAAAUCGCACAAUAGGCGAAAUCCGUUCAAGACUCAAACGGUAACCAAAUUCAAAUCCGAGCACACCUACGCGCUCGUGAUAAAUAGGGGAUUGCACUGGGACCCAAAGCCCCACUGCCACAGUCUCCCACGAGCCACCACACGCGUUGGCAGCGUGUGGGUGUCCAAAGCGAUAACAAUCGCCGAAAAAUUCUAAAAACUAAGGGCCAAGGUUCCUAUCCUAGGUUCAAAAUAUCAAUUGGAGUCACUUUUAUUCUCGGAUCUACCCCAAAAAAUGACCAAAAGUGGCUGAAAUUUAAAUUCAAAAACCAGCCAAAACCUAGGGUUUAAAUUCCAGAAACCUAUUGCGACAAUUAACCAAAUCCUACCCAACCAUCAGCUAGAGCACGAAAAAUAGUCCAGAAACCAUACCUCAGGUGUCAGAUUUGGUGGCCGGAGGAGAGAGAACAAGGCCGGCGAAGACUCUGUCAAACCUAGCAAUAUCCGGCGGUAGGCUCGACGGUGACGGUUCUGGGCUUCGAAGGUUGUGGCGGCCCGAUCCUUUUCCCGGCGGAGCAAUGGGCUGAGGUGACGGUGGAGAGAGAGGCAGUUUAGGGCAGAGAGAGGAAGUGAGGAAGAAAGGAGGCUGUCGCGAUUUUUCUGAAAAUUUAACUGAUCUUGUGCGACGAAGAACACAAUGUGUCGCGCAAGGUAUGUUUAAUAAACCUUGCGCGACGGAAAAAAAACAAUGACGUCGCGCAAGGUAGUUUUCCGCUCAAAUUUUCAUUGCAUUGCGCAACGAAUAAGAAAAACCGUCGCGCAAGGUGCUUAUUCCACCAAAAAAUUUGUCACCUUGCGCGACGAGUGAACAAAACCGUCGCGCAAGGUGCUUAUUCCGCCAAAAAUUUUGUCACCUUGCGCGACGAGUGGACAAAACCGUCGUGCAAGGUUGUUAUUCCAUCAUAAAUUUUUGGGUUUAGGGUUUAGUGAAGGGUCUGAUCAUUUUGCGUGACGAAAAGACUCUAUCAUAGCGCAAGAUUGUGUAAAACCCUAAACCUUAAACCCUAAAUUAAUAAACCUUGCGUGACGUAGAAGACAUUGUGCGCAGGGACGGAUCCACAUAGGAGCAAGGGUGGUCAAUUGACCCCUGCAACUCCAAAAUCCGCCACUAGAGGAAGAAAAAUUGACCCCUGCAAUGGCUGGAUGGCUGGGCAAUUCAUGCCCGCCAUCUGUUCGAGGAAAUGCCUCAAAGGGUUGCAGCAACUUCAACUUCAGCGCAGCAAGAAGGAGUGCACGCAGAGCGCUUCCUUUUUUUCGUCCAAAAGUCCCUCUUCCUAAAGUGGAUAUCAGCUUCUUGCUCUUUGCAAAGGGUGGUUUGGGAGAACAGUGUCAUUGGGAAAAUCAAAGCUUUGCCGUCGAAUUUUACCAUGUGCAUCUUUCAGAACAAGGUUGCCAGAAUUAAAAAGCUCUGCUCUCUCAACAUCAAGGCUACUGGAGUUGGUGCUGGUCUGCCAGAUAGUUGCGCCAUCCACAUCGGUCUCAAGACCAAUGAGCCAUCUUUUCGAAGCGAAACUCUGGCGCCAAGGCUAUUGACAGUUUUGUCUCUGUUAGCCAUCCAAACAACUGUUCUGCUUUUAGAGUUUGUGAACCCACAUGUGAAAGACUCAUCUGGGGAAGUUACUUGAUUUAAUAUGUGUUUUCUCAAUUGUUUUCUCAAUGAAUUAUAUAUGAAUGAUAAUUUAUCGUUUUAUUUUUAUGGGAUGAAUAUUGAUGUUUUUCUUGAUUAGUUGUUGAGGUUUUUUAUUUUAUUUUUUUCCAAGGAUGUUUAAUUUUGUUUUGUUACCUUUAGUUUGAAUAAAGGAUUUCUUAAUAAUAAAAAUAUUUAUGGGUAUAUUUUGUAGAAAUUUUUUUUAACCUUUUAAAAGUUGACCCCCGGAGGAAAAAUUCCUGGAUCCGUCCCUGAUUGUGCGUCACGCAAAUCUCUGGCAAAGUAAUAUUUUAAAUUGAAAUUGAAAUUUUUUUUAUACAUUCUUAUACAUAUUAUUAAUAGAGUAUAUUAUUUUUUUUAAAAUAUAAAAAUGCCCAGAAAAAUAGACUUUAUUAAAAAAUAAUAAACACCAUAAGAAUAUUUUAAAUUUUUUUUAUACAAGGAAAAAUACUCUAAUUCAAUUUGCUAGCUGUGCCCAGUUAGAUUUCUCAUAAAUGGCCAGUACACUUUUAGCCUUCCCUUCACCAAAACGUAGACCAUUACAAACCUGGAUAGAACCAAAAGAAAUGCAAAAUCAAAAUUGGGCAAGAGUCUUAAUAUAUGCCAUAAAAAUUAAAAAUUAAAAAAUUAAAAAAUUUAGGGUUUUUUUAAAAGCUGUGCACUUGUAUGACUUAAUAUAUGCCUUAUCUUUUUCCUAAAAAGAUAAACCCUAAAUUUUUUAUUUUAAAAAAAAAUAUACUCUAUUAAAAAAUAAUAAACACCAUAAGAAUGUUUUAAAUUUUUUUUAUACAAGGAAAAAUACUCUAUUAAAACAAUAAACACCUUCGUACAAAGAAAAUCACAAUGAUCAAACUUUAAUUAACAAAUCAACUACCAAUAAUAAAAGUGAUCUCAAGUUCAAGUUAUAAAACGAAGGGUUAAUACUUUUUUAGUUAUUUUCAUACUCCAAUCUCACUCAUAUGAUCUCAUCUCAUCUCAAAGGCUUCUCUUCCUUGAACACGCAGCUUCACUCAACCCACUUGAACCCAAGAGUAACCACCAUUAAUUUGAACCACUACAACCUCCACUGCUUCAAUCAAACCCAUUCUCUCACAUCGCAGAAACCUCAUCGACUCGAUUACGCUUGGAUACUCACGUAACUUGAUCUAGUAACCGAACCUAAUCCAAGAGUAUUGAGUACACCUUUAUGUAGACAAUUAUAUUAAACUAAUAUUUUAAAUUUAAAUUGUAUAUCCAUUUUUUAAAUAUAUUUGAAUAUCACUUAUUAUUAUUCUAAUAUACCAAUUUUAUUUUUAUUUUAAAAAGGCCACUUGGAAUGUGGAUGCAUUGUGGGUUAAAUCACAAAUAGGGUCAACACUUUAUUUAUGAAAUUGUGAUUUAUAAAUAUGUUUUGCGCGACGAAUAUCUAUAAUUUCGUAGCGUAAAGAAGUGUUGCGCAACGAUACGAAUAUUUCGUCGCGCAAGGUUGUAUUUUCACUAGGAAAUUAUCGCAACUUGUGCGACGUAAAUGUUAACUUCGUUGCGCGAUGAAGUAUGUCUUUCGUCGCGCACCUUGCGCGACGUACAAACUGCAGUGACGUCGCGCAAACCAUUUACUUUCUCGCGAAACGAAUUUUCGUCGCACAAGUUUUAAACUAUAAAUUAAAUAUCACGAUUUCUAGUAUAUUAGGACACUUUGCACGACGUACAAACUGCAGUGACGUCGCGCAAACCAUUCGCUUUCUCGCGCGAUGAAAAUAUUCGUCGCGCUUUUAAACUAUAAAUUAAGUAUCACGAUUUCUAGUAUAUUAUGACACCUUGCGCGACGUGGAUGUUCUCAUUACGUCGCGCAAACCUCUUGCAAUGUUUUUUUUUUAAGUUAAUUUUUUUAUUUUCUUUAUUUUAAAUAAUUAUUAUAAAAAUUACAGAUGUUACCUUAAUGAACUUAAGUUUAAUAUGAAUUACGAAAAAAAUUCAAAGAUUUCGGUACAAUUGAAAAGUUAAAUGUUUAUAUUUUAAAUUUGAAUUAUUAUUUUAUUCUCCAAUGUGAGACUUAAUUUACACAUUAUAGUUUGUAUAAUAGUUUAAUGCUUGAUUAAAUCAUUAAAUAAGACGGGGUUGUGAGAUCUAAGGGCCCGAUUCUUGAUAUAUUUUUUUUUCAAUGUUUUUUAUUCAUUCAAUUUGAAGAUUUUAAACACAAAAAAGAGAAAACCCUAAUUCUUAUAUUCAUAAAGACCAUUGAAAAUCAAAUAGACAGAUUCAAAUCUGUUUUCAAAUUUAGGUAUAUAUCUAAAUUAAAAUUUAUAUAUAUUAUAUGUUGUAAUUUAAUUCGUGAUUGCAAAUUUUGUGUGCAACUUGAUUUUAAUUUGUCAUUGCCAUAUUUACACUACCAUAAUUAAAUUAUAACAAAUUUCAUUUACUAUGUUUUACAUGGGUAGUCGCUAAUAAAUUGCAUUAUUCAUCAUUUGAACUAUAAUAACCUUCGUUAUCCUCACUAUCAUCACUUUCGUUCUCCCAAUCCUCCUCCUCAUCACUUUCAUUAUUUGGGCCCACUGGAACUUCAUAUCGCGGAAGAUCACCGAGGUCAAUUGUAAUUGACUGAAUCGGUAUUUCGAUUGAAGACACUCCUUGAAGCUGAAACGGUUCUUGUAUAACAUUUGUAUCUCAAAGUGUUUCUGCAUCAUUUUCCAUGAAAGAUUCCAACCGUUGGUUAGUGACGUUGUCGACGUCGUUGUCAGUUGGGCCUAGUUAUGGUAUAGCAUACAUGUUCCUCUGAUCCAUCUACUGAGCAACUUUCCAACUGCUUCCAGCUUUAGGGUCAUCUAGAUACACAAUCUGUCUUGCCAUGUUUGCCAAAUGUAAAGGUCGUCAUCAUACCAAGUUCUGUUAAUGUUCACUGAUAAUAAGUCAUGGUCUAUUUUAACACUUCCCUGCCUAUUUGGGUUUGUAUCAAACCAUCGACACUUAAACAUGAUCACUUGGUAUCGGUCUUUGUAAAGCAAUUGUACAACAGUUGUGAGUUUGCCAUAAAAAUUAAUGUUUGUACUUUCGCUUCCACCUGGGACAUGGACACCGCUAUUUUACGUACACAACUUGUCAUCUCGUGUAGUCCACAAAAACUUGAUGCCGUUAACAUGGCAACCCGAGAAUAAUUCAACGCGAAUCGGGCCGAACGUCAAGUUAUAUAACUCUUCACUGUAAAAGGGUGAAUUCGAUGAUUUCAACUUAUUCACCUAAUAUUAUACAAAAACAUUCACAUGUUAGUUUGAUAACAUUAAAUAAUACUAUAUAUAUAUCAAAUACAAAACACUUAUAACUUACAUAUUUCAAAAACCAUUGUGGAAACAAAUCACGGUGUUUCGUGGCAUACAAAUGUGAUGGAUGUUCUCGCUUCAUCAUCUCUUCAUACUCAUCUAAAUAUGUCAUUAUCUCAUCACAAUUGUUAAGUACGAACCAAUGCGCUACAUCCAUGUCAUUUCUGAAAAACGACCCUCCUCGUACAGGAUCUCCAACGGGUCGUGCGCUUUGGGCAAAAAUAGAAAGUUUCUCAUUUCUCAGACCUCUGUCAUUAUUGCGCUGAGGAUGAUUGAAAGCCGUGUCCACAUCUUUUAAAUACAUUCCAAAGAAAGUAAGCAACUCAUAUUGAACCCAAGCCUCUAUAAUUGAUCUUUCGGGCUUCGCCCUGUUGCGUACAUUUUUUUCAGCUCUCCUAGAAGCCUGCUAAAAUAAAAUGAACCACUACAAAUUAGCGAGCGUGGGAUAAGGAUGCAUAAACAAAUGAUGAGGAUUAUAUACUUUUCUAUUGGAUACAUCCAGCGAUAGUUGACAGGACCAGCGAGCAAUGCCUCUUCUGGCAAGUGAACCAUCACGUGGAUCAUACUUGUGAAGAAAGCUAGAGGGAAUAUCAUCUCGAACUUGCAUAGGACUUGGACAAUGUCAUGGCGCAACUGAUUAAUGUAUGUCUUUCGCAAUGUUUUUGCCGUUAGUUGGGAAAAAAAUCUGGACAACAACAUGAUUGGUUCCACUACAUCUUCUGACAAAAGAUGUCGAAUACCCACAAGAAGUAGGCUUUGCAUAAACACAUGGCAGUCAUGGCUCUUUAGUCCAAUAAAUUUACCCCCGUCAAUAUUAACGCAACACGCAAUAUUAGAAGCAUACCCAUCGGGAAACUUUAUAGAUGAUACAAACUUUAGAAAAUCUUUUUUGUCAUUCGGUUUCAUGGAAAAACAAAUGUCAAUUCCCUUCUAGCUUUAUCACCUUCCCUAUUCAUCCAUAAACCUCUUCGUAUGCCCAUUCUUUCCAAAUCAAGACGAGUUUUGAUCGUGUCCUUUGUCUUACCCUCGAUAUCUAGAAUCGUGCCCAUCAAUGUGUCAAAGACAUUUUUCUCAACAUGCAUAACGUCGAGAUUGUGCCUCAAUUUUAGUUUCGACCAAUAUGGGAGCUCAAAAAAUAUAGGCUUGUGCGUCCAGUUCAAAUGUGUAGAAGGUCUGGUUCGAGUAACUGUUUUCCCGAACGGAGAAAAAUCCAAACGGUUAAGCUGUUCCAAGAUCUCUUCACCGGACCAUUCUCUAGGUCUGAGGCGAUGCUCUGUGUUCUCGUCAAACUCUUUAUCCUUUCUCUGCCACUCGUGGUCCCAUGGCAACCAUCUCCGAUGACCAAGAUAACAAACUUUUUCCGCGUGCCAACCAGAAGUUACAUCUUCCUUGCAUACAGGGCAUGCCAUAUAACUCUUUGUGCUCCACCCAGAAACCAUUGCAUAUGCAAAAAAUCAUUCACAGUCCACAUAACUGCUGCCCGCAAAGUGAACAUCUUCUCAGUAGAUUUAUCGUACGUGUGCACACCGUUUGUCUAUAAAUCCUUGAGCUCAUCAACCAACGGCCUUAAGUAAACAUCGAUUGACUUGUCAGGAUCCUCAAUUAUCAAAAUAGUCAUCAUCAUGUAUUCUUUUUUCAUGCAUUUCCAAGGCGAAAAAUUAUAUGGGAAUACGAAAAUAGGCCAAGUGCUGUGGUGUUGGUUUAGAAUCCCGUACGAAUUGAAUCCGUCAAUGGCAAGUCCCAAUCUUACAUUUCGGGGAUCAGCAGCAAACUCGGGGAAUGUUCGAUCAAACUCUUUCCAUGCCUCCCCAUCUGCAUGAUGCCGCAUCACAUCGUCGUCUACCCGUUUUUCCUUAUGUCAUCUCAUGUAUGUGGCAGUAUGAGUCGACAUAUACAAUCGUUGUAACCUAGGUUUCAAGGACAGAUAACGCAUGAAUUUUUGUGGGAUCUUAAUCGUUCUAUUCUGAGAUGUCAUCUUGAACCUCGACUCUUUGCAUAUAUGGCAUGUAUCCAAUGUUUCAUACUCUUUGUAGAAUAACAUGCAAUUGUUUUUGCAAGCAUGAAUUUUUUUCAUAACCCAAUCCAAGACCAUUCAACAACUUUUGCGCGUGUCUAUGGUCUUCCGGCAAACAAUUGUCCGUCGGAAGCAUUCUCUUGAAAACCCCCAAAAAGUAAUCGAAACACAGAUUCGACAUACGAUACUUUAUUUUUCCGUGCAUUAGCUCCACAAUGGCCGUGAGAAUGGAAAAGCUCUCGCACCCUGGGUAUAACUCUUAGUUUGCAUUUUUUAACAGUUGUUCAUAUUGUUCGAACUCUGCACUAUCCAUUGGGGUAGGCACGUCAUCUUCCCCUUCCUGAUUGAUGUUGGUCGAUGCAAAUAGAAAAGCAUCAUUUAUAAUAUCAAUGACUUGUUCAUUAGGAUCCACAAUAGGUUCAACAUUGUCCACCAUUGUGGCAUUUGAAGAUGAAGCAUUGUCUAAUUGUUCCCAGUGAAGGUUCCAAAUGCUAUAUGUCUCAAUCAUUCCAUUCCUUACUAAAUGAAAUCCAACAUUUUCAAUUGUCUCCCACAACGUGUUGUUACACCUCCUACAAGGACAACGGAUUCUAGUUGCACGCGGGUUGUGUCUAUGUGCAAACUCAAUAAAAUCCUCGAUUCCAUCCAAGUAUUCGUAUGUGCAUCUAUUCGGUUUAUGUAUCUACCUUAUACUCAUAACUCCUGAAACCACAAUCACAACAACUUCAUACGAAGUUAUAAUGUCACCUUAUGCCUCCGGUAAGGGCCCUAUCCCAUUCAGGAAUGCAUAGUCCUGUCACGUAACCUACAGCUACAUGAGAUUAGAUUUCGACGUGGAUGAAUUUCGGCAGCAUCUCGAUACAGUUCUUGAGGUGGGCAUAGGUAUAAAUACCUACAUACCACCCCAAGAACGUACCGAGAUGACACUGAAAUCUCCACAAUCGAAACCUAAUCCUGUAGCUGUAGAUUACGUGACAAUACUAUGUAUUACCAAACUGUCCAAAUAAUGGGACAAUUUAAGAAUUAAUUGGACCGCAGUCAUACUUUACGCAUUCAUGCACGAAAUCCAACUAAUCUCGAAUGGGAAACUAAGUGUUACUAAAAAAUAAUAAUAAAAGUACGAAGUUAAUUUCAAUUAACUUCGUACAUCACAAUACAUUGUGCUACGUCACGCAUAAUUUCACAACAUAAUAUAAAUAUAAUUUCACAACAAAAAAUAUAAAUAUAACAAACUAAGUUCAACAUAAUGUAAUUAAUUUAAUAUAAAAUGAAUAAAAUACCUUCUCAAUCGUUCUCCACAAUUGCUAAUUACAAAUAUGUAUAAUGAGAACAAAAUUAAUAAAGUUAGUAUGAAUUUACAUUAGUGCUUUUAAACAAACGACAAAUAAUACUUACCCAAUGAGCGUAUUGAAUUCCCAGCAGAGGCAGCAACACAGACAAAGAGAGGUUCCAAAUUUUUUUUGCAUUCUGCCUCUGCAAUGGCAGAAUCCAGAGAUGUAGACGAAGGAUUUUGCGCGACGAAACAACAUUUUCGUCCCGCAAAACCAGUUUUUCGUCGCAUAAAAUCACUUUUUUCGUUGCGUAAGCACCUGUCAACAUCGGGCUUAUGCGCUACGAAAUUUCCGAUUCGUCGUGCAACCUUUCGUCGAGCAAAAUCUAAACGGCGUCGCGCAUACACAAAUUUCUGUCGCACAAGAACAUGCUGACAUCAAACUUUAGGCGACGAAAUGUAUUUUUGUUGUGCAAGUAUUUGGCGCCAAAAAAAAGAUAUCGCACAUUUUUCUGUCCACCUUUACGUGACGAAAUAUGAAACCGUCGUGCUAGGAUAUCUUUCGCGACGAUCAAUAUCGUCGCGCAAAUGUUUGGCGCUAAAAAAAAUAAAGCCGGGUUUUUCUUCCCUCACUUUGCGUGAGAACUCAUUUGUUUGUCGUGCUAAGUUUCUUUGCGCGACGAAUUUUUGUUUCCGUCGCUGAAGUGUAUUUUGCGCGACGAAUUAAAGAAACAUAACAACGUAGAUUUAAAACAUAGCCCACAAAAAAUUAAAGCAAACCCAAUAAGAUUCAAAGGAUUUAAGGAAAACCCAAUUAUAAUAAUAAAAGGAAAGAAGUUUUACCCAAGGCAUCCAAUUGUUGCUUCUUGGUAGAACCAAGUGGUCUGCCUCUGGCUUUCUUGAUGGAAGUGGGUGAAGCAGAACCUGCAAAUAGAGGAGGAUGAGGGGGAGGAGUUGAGCUUUGAGGUUGAACUUGGUGGUUGAUGAUGGAGUUGAGCUUUGAGGUUGAAUGAGAACGAGAAUGAGAGCUUGAUAGGGAGAGGGAGAGAGAUGAUGAGAGGGAGUUGCAGCUAAGGUUAGGAAAUGAAGGAAUGAGAGAGGAGAGAUAGAGUAGAGUCCAUGAGUUUUAGUUUUGGAGUCCAAUCAAGUAUCGAAGGGUACAUGGUAAACUUUUCAAAUAACCACUCAAGCCUUGCCACAUGUAAAUUAAAUUAAACAAAUAAUAAUUUAAUUUAUAAUUAGUCCGGUUUGGUUGAUGACAUAUUACAAAACUCCUAAAUCGCACUGAACUAAACCAAAUUGGUUCGGUUUGAUCUGAUUUUUCAAACUAUUGACCUUUUUUCUUCUUCAAUCAAAAUCAAACCAAACAAAACUAAUAUAAUCGAUUCUGCUGGAUUGAUGCCCACCCCUAUAUGCAAAGAUGCUAAUAAUAUUUAUUUAACGAUAAACUAGCCCCUUGGCACACACUCAUGCAUGUGCCAAUUGGUUUUCUUUUUUCUUUUUUAUUUUAUUUUUAGAAUUAAGAAAAGAUAAUAUGGGUACUUAUGUUCCAUAAAAGUAGCACCUAUUAUCUGAUUUUGUUUUUAAUUUUAAUUUUUUAAAUAUGAAAAAUUGUGAAUUUACCAUAUUAUUUUUAUUUAAUUAAUAAUUUUAAUUCUUAAUGUUUAAAUUAACUAAGGUCAUUUUCUGGUAUUUUGAAUGUUUCACCAUUCUCUUCCUUUUGCUUUAUAUAUAUAGAUUUAACUGAAAUUGUUCUAAAAAAGACACGUGCACCAUUUUGACAUUUGAGCCAAUGUUUUUAGGGUUAUCUACUGUAGACGUCCCUGAACUAGGGCCUCAGUUACAAUUGGGUCUGUGAACUUUUUUUUGAGGCAAUUACAUCCGUUAACUCUAUAAAUAGUUCCAAUUGGGUCCUACCGUCCAAGUCUGUCAAUUUUUUCUGUCAAAAUAAGGGGUAAAAGCAUCCUUUUGAGCUGUAGAGGUAAUUGUUUUAACGGUUUUUAACUGUAGACGUCCCUGAACUUUGCUCCCAGUUGCAAUUGGGUCCGUGAAUUUAUUUUUGAGGCAAUUACAUCCUUUAACUCGACAAGUAGUUCCAAUUGAGUCUUGUCAUAACAGAGUAAAAGAGCUAAAAACUUAGUAACCACAAAAGAUGGGUUUGAGGCAAUUGAAGACUGACGGCUCGUGAAGAACUUCUUGAUCUUCUCCAUGCCGGCGGUCGUGGUUUCGAAGGUGUUGUUGGAUUUGGCCACGUCGACCAACGUCAUGGUGUAGCUGGCUGCUGCGGUGGCGUUCAUUCUGGCUCCAAGGGCGCCGUCGGUGUUACGGAGGUAGUGGAGGAGGAGAGCUUAAGGGGAUGAGGUUGCAAGUGGGUUCUGGCUUCUGCGGGUUGGGAGAUCUGGGGGGGGGGUUGUAAGUUGCAGGUUAGGUUGGGAUCUGGGUUUUGAGGGGGUAGGCUAAGGAGGAGGGUGAAUGAGCUGUAGAAGAGACAGAGAGAUAGAGAGGGAGAGCUAAGAGAGAGAGGGACAAAUUCUGUUACGGUAUGACUCAAUUAGAACUACUUGUCAAGUUAAAAGAUGUAAUUGCCUAAAAAAAGUUCAUGGACCCAAUUGCAACUAUGAACAAAAUUCAGGGACGUCUACAGUUAAAAACCGUUAAAACAAUUACCUUUGCAACUCAAAAGGACGCUUUUACCACUCAUUUUGACGGACAAAUUGACGGACUUGAAUAACAAAAUCUAAUUGGAACAACUUGUAAAGUUAAAAGAUGUAAUUGUCUAAAAAAAAAAAAAAAGUUCACGAACCAAUUGCAAGUGAGGGCAAAGCCCAAGAAGGUCUACAGUUAAAAACCCAUGUUUUUAAUAAAAAAACCCGAAGGUCACUUUCGGCAUUGCAGUACUCUCUUUAUAAUACUAGCUCCCUGGGAGGCUGAAACCCUAAAAUUGCUUUGUUUUCACGCCGAGCAAAAUGUUCCACUGUUUAUUUCUUACGGAGUCUUUUUUUUUCUUCCUUAGAAAACAAAUUUAAAAAUUGUUGAUUCUUUUGGCUGAAAGAUGGUUUUUGAUUUACAUUAUCUUUCGGUUCAAGUAUGAUUCCCGAUGAUGAACAAAUUGAAAAAGCUAAAGAGCGGUAAGCGUGGUUGUUUUCUUCAUCAGCCUAUACUCACCACCACUGUAACCUCUCUCUCUCUCUCUCUCUCUCUCUCUCUCUCACACUCUCUCUCUCUCUCUCAUACAUACAUACAUAUAUAUAUAUAUAUAUACGCAGUGCUGUUGAGUAUACAGGCUGUUGAUGAACGCCACUUGCUUCAAACCGUGAAUGAUUCGUUAAAAGCUAUGAGAUCUGAGGGCAUUUUGAUAGAUCUCACUCUAUACAACUACCCAUUCGGGGAUUUAGCCUUAAACGUGGUUAAAAUUUGCGGAACUAGUUACUUUUACACUUGCAUGUUCAUUUCUGCCCCAAAUUUCCUUGCUUUCAUAGUUAUGCUUUUGCUUUGCCACUGAUUGUUUAUACUGCUCUACUUUUGAAAUGGAUUUUCGUAAGAACCCAUUUUUGUUACUGCGUGUUAGGCAUUUGAUGUUAAGUUGGCCCAAGAUCUGCUAAUGUCCGUGACUAUGGUUUGUAAACUACAGUGGCAUAUUUUUUUAAGUGGAUUUUUGUUUUUUCAUUUUGUCAUAUGUAGUGGGUUCCUGGUAUUGUUAAGUUGGAUUGUGGGGGAAUGAUGAUACAUGCACUGGUCUCUGAGCAGUUUGUAACUGCGAUUAUUGAUGGAAAUGCAGCCUAGAAAUAUGACCCUUGUAGAAAUCUUUAACCUUGCUGUGAUAAAGGUGUUCCAACUAACCCAACGUUGAUAGUAGUGAUGCUGUGUUAUGAUAAGAUUUGCUGUCUUUUUGUCUGUUCUGUGUAUCUCCAUGAUCUACUUUUAGAUGGCCGUUCUUUUUUGAGUUUUUAACAAUGUUUUCUAGUGUAGCUGAUUUGCUGCCACAGCAAGAUGGUCCAAUUUUUAUUAGCCUAAUGAUGGAAAACUCGUUUUUUGAGCGGUUCUGUGGAUUAUUGUUAGGAGCCUUUUCUAUCAUUUUUGCUGUACUAGCCAUUAUCAUCAUCAAAAACACCAUCCUCUGUCUGUCUGUCUGUCUCUCCCUCUCUCUCUCUCUCUCUCUCUCUCUCUCUCUCUCUCUCUCUCUCUCUCUCUCUCUCUCUCUCUCUCUCUCUCUCUCUCUCUCUCCCUGGCUUGUAUGGUUGAAGAUGUGAAGAGGCUCGUAGUGAUAAUCCAGUGGUUAACCGUCAAUGACCAGAUAUAGCUAUGAGAUCUGAAGGCUUGUCCAGAGACAUUUGUUCCUCCUAAGAUAUGUGAUUGAAUCUUAAAUCAUUUUUGUUCCUCAGUUAUUCUAUGGUUGUAUUUUCUUAGUUUCCACAUAUUUAUUACACUUCUCCUUUAUUACAUCCUUUAUUUACCAUUGCAUCGAAGUUGCGACUGCGUUUCGUUGUAGUAGUGAUGCUGUGUUAACGAUCAGAUCUACUCUUUUGUCUAUUCUGUGUCUCCAUGAUAUAACUGUAGAUGCCCACUGGUUUUUGUUUUUUUUUUAAGAAUGUUUUCUAGUGUAGCUAUUUUGCUGCCUCAGAAAUAUGGUUCAAUUUUUAUUAGCCUAAUGAUGGAAAACUCAUUUUUGGAGCGGUUCUGUGGAUUAUUGUUAGGAGCCUUUUCUAUCAUUUUUGCUUACUAGCCAUUAUCAUCAUCAUAAACACCAUCCUCUAUCUAUCCAUCUCUCUCUCUCUCUCUCUCUCUCUCUCUCUCUCUCUCUCUCUCUCUCUCUCUCGCUCUCUCUCUCUCUCUCCCUCCCUCCCUCCCCCCUGGCUUGUAGUGUUGAAGAUGUGAAGAGGCUCAUAGUGAUUAUCCAGUGGUUAACUGUCAAUGACCAGACAUAGCUAUGAGAUCUGAAGGCUUGCCCAGAAACAUUUGUUUCUUUUAAGAUAUGUUUAUUGAAUCUUAAAUCAUUUUUGUUCCUUAGUUAUUCUAUGGUUGUAUUUUCUUGGUUUCCACAUAUUUAUUAUGCUCCUCCUUUAUUAUGUCCUUUAUUUACCAUUGCUUCGAAGUUGCGACUGCAUUUCAUUGUAGUAGUGAUGCUGUGUUGACGAUCAGAUCUACUCUUUUGUCUAUUCUGUGCGUCUGCAUGAUAUAACUGCAUAUGCCCACUCGUUUUUGUUUAUUGUUUUUAACCAUGUUUUCUAGUGUAUCUAUUUUGCUGCCUCAGGAAGAUGGUUCAAUGUUUAUUAGCCUAAUGAUGGAAAACUCAUUUUUGGAGCGGUUCUGUGGAUUAUUGUUAGGAGCCUUUUCUAUCAUUUUUGCUGUACUAGCCAUUAUCAUCAUCAUAAACACCAUCCUCUCUCUCUGUCUCUCUGUCUCUCUGUCUCUCUCUCUCACUCUCUCUCUGUCUCUCUCUCUCUCUCUGUGGCUUGUACGGUUGGAGAUGUGAAGAGGCUCGUAGUGAUAAUCCAGUGGUUAACCGUCAAUGACCAGAUAUAGCUAUGAGAUCUGAAGGCUUGCCCAGAGACAUUUGUUCCUUUUAAGAUAUGGUUAUUGAAUCUUAAAUCAUUUUUGUUCCUCAGUUAUUCUAUGGUUGUAUUUUCUUGGUUUCCACAUUUUUUACACUCCUCCUUUAUUAUGUCCUUUAUUUACCAUUGCAUCAAAGUUGCGACUGCGUUUUGUUGUAGUAGUGAUGCUGUGUUAACGAUCAGAUCUACUCUUUUGUCUAUUCUGUGUCUCCAUGAUAUAACUGUAGAUGCCCACUCGUUUUUGUUUUUUUUAAACUGUGUUUUCUAGUGUAGCUAUUUUGCUGCCUCAGGACGAUGGUUCAAUUUUUAUUAGCCUAAUGAUGGAAAACUCAUUUUUGGAGCGGUUCUGUGGAUUAUUGUUAGGAGCCUUUUCUAUCAUUUUUGCUUACUAGCCAUUAUCAUCAUCAUAAACACCAUCCUCUAUCUAUCCAUCUCUCUCUCUCUCUCUCUCUCUCUCUCUCUCUCUCUCUCUCGCGCGGGCGUGUAGAGAUGAAGAUAAAAAGAGGCUCAUAGUGAUAAUCCAGUGGUUAAAUGUCAAUGAA
rnacentral:lncRNA from 1 species